rnacentral:rRNA from 1 species
GGAUUGCCCCAGUAACGGCGAGUGAAGCGGCAACAGCUCAAAUUUGAAAUCUGGCCCCAGGCCCGAGUUGUAAUUUGCAGAGGAUGCUUUUGGCGCGGUGCCUUCCGAGUUCCCUGGAACGGGACGCCAUAGAGGGUGAGAGCCCCGUACGGUUGGACACCAAGCCUUUGUAAAGCUCCUUCGACGAGUCGAGUAGUUUGGGAAUGCUGCUCAAAAUGGGAGGUAUAUUUCUUCUAAAGCUAAAUAUUGGCCAGAGACCGAUAGCGCACAAGUAGAGUGAUCGAAAGAUGAAAAGCACUUUGAAAAGAGGGUUAAACAGCACGUGAAAUUGUUAAAAGGGAAGCGCUUGUGACCAGACUUGCGCCCGGUGAAUCACCCAGCUCUCGCGGCUGGGGCACUUCGCCGGCACAGGCCAGCAUCAGCUCGCCGUCGGGGACAAAAGCUUCGGGAACGUAGCUCUCUUCGGGGAGUGUUAUAGCCCGUUGCAUAAUACCCUUCGGCGGGCUGAGGUACGCGCUCCGCAAGGAUGCUGGCGUAAUGGUCAUCAGCGACCCGUCUUGAAACACGGACCAAGGAGUCAACCUUAUGUGCGAGUGUUUGGGUGUUAAACCCCUACGCGUAAUGAAAGUGAACGCAGGUGAGAGCUUCGGCGCAUCAUCGACCGAUCCUGAUGUUCUCGGAUGGAUUUGAGUAAGAGCAUAUAGGGUUGGACCCGAAAGAAGGUGAACUAUGCGUGUAUAGGGUGAAGCCAGAGGAAACUCUGGUGGAGGCUCGCAGCGGUUCUGACGUGCAAAUCGAUCGUCAAAUAUGCGCAUGGGGGCGAAAGACUAAUCGAACCUUCUAGUAGCUGGUUUCCGCCGAAGUUUCCCUCAGGAUAGCAGUGUUGAACUCAGUUUUAUGAGGUAAAGCGAAUGAUUA